CGAAAGCUUUCUCUCUUUUAGCCGAGAGCGAACAGAAAAGCUUUUCACUUCUUCAAUCUCCAACAAAUCUGCAGUAUACCCCAUCUUCAAUAGAUUUUAGGUUUCAACAAGAAAUCCAUCAUCUAAUGAAAACCCAUCAUUAAGAAAUCUCGAUCUACAAAUCCAUCAUCUAAUCAAACCCUAUCUUCAGUAAGGUUUGCCUGAAAUCUAAGAAUCAAAUCAUUCAAGUCUGAUAUUAACUGAUUUUUUGGAUUAUCAUCAGUUAAUUGGAAGAUGGGCGUACCCUUGCUGAUUACAACAUCCAAAUGGGAUCAACCCUUCAUUUGAUCUUGAGGCUUAGGGGAGGAACCAUGAUCAAGGUUAAGACACUUACUGGUAAAGAAAUUGAAAUUGAUAUUGAACCAACUGACACCAUUGAUAUAAUCAAGGAGCGUGUUGAGGAGAAGGAAGGCAUCCCUCCUGUUCAGCAGAGGCUUAUCUGUGCUGGAAAACAACUUGCUGAUGACAAAACUGCCAAAGACUACAACAUCGAGGGGGGUUGUGUUCUUCAUUUGGUCCUCGCCUUGAGGGGUGGUCUUUAAGGCUUUUAUUUUUCACAUGGGAAUGAUAUAUAAUGUGUCUAAUACGAAUAAUAACAGCUCCGUUACAUGUUCAUAGACCCUGAAAGGGACAUCAAUCUUUGAGUGUUCAAUCACUCAUACCUUGGGGGGGAGUCUCUCUAGAAACUGAUUUAGGGUCUUAUAUAAAUUGACAUCUCAGAAAUUCAUUGCUCUGUAUUAAUCAGAUGUCCCGUCAAAGUUAGUUAAAGUGGAAACUCCACAUUCCAAUUAUGGUGGUGGUAUGGUGCCAGGUCCAGCUGGUAUUGGGUAUCCUCCACGGUUGCAUUUGGUGCAAUGCAGCCUAUGUAUACAUCCUUAACACCCUUUUGCAUGUUAUUCAUGUCUCUCUUCUCUCUUCUAAUAUGUGUUUCUUUUGCUGGUCGUGAAGAGUUAUUCUUUGGGACCCUCCUGAAUGCACAAAUGGGUAGUCUAAAUCAUGAUAGUCUUUUAAUGCUCUGUUAGCUUGAGUAUUGGGAAAAUGGCUGGAAAAACUUUUUCCAAUAGUUAUUACAUUCCUUCACAUCAUCUGCACUGGAUAAGGUCACGGCAAUAUUUAUAUGUUUGCUUAGAAAUGGUUGUUCUUCUAGGAUCUUUUUCACUUAAUUAGCAGCUAAUUAGAAACUCUUUUAUGUUUGUAAUAAUAUGUACUCAGAAUUCCCAUAGGACUGGAGAAGCCAAUUACUUAAUUAUUAUUCUCAAGGCUUUUGUUAUAAGUGUUCAUGAACUUCAUACUAGUGGUCCGUGAAUGGCUGAUGUAGCAUUUGUGCUCGUGCAAAAGCAAACAAGAACCUCCGUUACAGUGAAACACAUUUACUCCAUUUCCAUCUUUGCUGAUUAUUUUAAAUAGCUGUGAAACAUAUCUUAUUAAUAGUCUGAUUUGUUUGCUGCAGUUACAACUCCGCAAUGGCAGUGCCGCCUCCAGACUCAGAAGAUCAGUCUUGAGUACAUGGAUGUUGAAGGUGUUAAGAAGCUUAACAAGAACAAGAAGUUGGUCAAGAAGCUUGCAAGAACAAGAAGUUCCAUGUUUUUCUAUCCUCAGAAGCUGUUAUCAAGCAGAUUCCCCGUCUUCUUGGACCUGGUCUUAACAAGGCAGGGAUGUUUUUCUAUCAAGAACUUUGUUAUAUGCCCUCCUUAAAUCUGCAUAGUAUGAUUUUCAACAUAAUUUUCUAUGAUCUGCCAUCUCUGGGAGUAUAUCUUUGGAUGCUAACAUUUGAUUUCCUUUGAUCUGGGAUGCAUUUUCAGGAUUUGAUCCAAAAAUUGUUGCCAAUCUUAAUGAGAGACAAAUCACAUCAAUCAGUACUGAGUACGGGAUAAAAUUAAGCAGGUUCUGAGGAGCUGUCGGUAACUCUUAACCGAAUUCUUGAGUGGCACGUGGAUUCUUUCCUCUCUACUCCAGUAACAGGCAGCUUCUCUUUCAUUGAGAAAUCAUUUUCUUGUUUAUCCCUACAACGGCCAUUUUAUGAAAAGUCUUUUCAUAAUUCUUAGGUAUACUACUCAACUGUUAUGCUUGUGAAAGUUAGGAUCGUUGUUCUGCUAAAAUUGAAGGAGACCCUCUAAAAAUUGACUCAACUGAUGUUGUUGGCCAUUUCCAGAAGUCUCUUACUUCCAUUGAAAAAUGCUGCAUUUGUUCGAUAGCCGUGGGAAUGAUCCUUGAGAUCAUCGUUAUUUUUCCCUUCUUGUUCUGUUAAUUGUAGGAAUACCCAUAGCUGUGCCCACAGUUUUAUCCGUUACGCUUGCAAUUGGCUCUCAUUGCCUGUAACAGCAGGAUGCUAUUACAAAACAGACGACUGUGGUAGAAGAAAUGGCUGGAAUGGAUAUCCUCUGCAGUGAUAAAACUGGAACCCUGAGUCGCCUCACUGUCGAUCGAAGCCUUUUUUUGGUACACAUGGGCUAGAUAACAAAUUUUUGUCAGAAACUUGGAGAUGUUCUUGUCAAAUCAUGUUUCCAUGACAUGCAUCCUUUGUAGGUUUUUAGCAAAAAUAUAGACCGACACACUGUUGUGCUGCUUGCAGCUAGAGCCUUAAGGCUUGAAAAUCGAGACGCCAUCGACACGGCCAUUAUUAACAUGGUCGCUGACCCAAAGGAGGCACACGGAAACAUCACACUGGUUCAUUUUAUACCGUUCAAUCCUGUAGAAAAGCGGACAUCCAUUACGUACAUCGAUUCCGAAGGAAACUGGCAUAGGGCUAAUUCACCGUAUUCUUUCCCUCCUCCUGGUAUGAUAAAGGAUCGUUCCAAGAAGCCGCCUCCCGCACAGAAGGGAGAAUCUCAAGAUGCAACGGGUCCUGCUGCAAAUACAAGGAAGCGUGACCGUUCAAAAGUUUCUUCCACUUCUAUCCAGCUUCGUUUCUCAAUAGUGGAAAUUGAAAUAAAACAGUCCGCCAGAAACACACUUAAAACGUUGAAAAAGGACUGUUUCCGGGAGCUCCAACUUUGUAGUCUUAUUUCCCAAACUGACUGUUUCUGAGAUUCUUUAAAUUUUUCAAAUAACGACUAUAAUUGGCAGCCUUCAUAACUGAUAAAAGCAGCCGUUUUGCUGGA